CUUUCAGAAUUACCCUCAGCCUGAGACCUGCAGUUUGCAAGCCCCCUUUCCCUUGGACCUCAUCCCAUGAAAACGUGUUGGCAAAACAGGUCGUAUCACCUUUCCUGCCUUAGUUUACUUCCCCCUGCUCCCCCCCCUUCCCCCCCCAGGAAUACUGGUUAGUCAUAAGCUAAUACUGUUUGCUUAGAAUCCGUGUAAUUAUAGAUUAUAUGUGCAGCAGCUUGCUAAGAGUGCAUUUAAUGAAUUGUCUGGUGCACCUGAUCUAUGUCAGUGAACUGUGUCAAAGUCAUGGUCUUCUCAGUAGCCAAAAUAAAUCAGGGAAUGGGAUGGGACAGGCUCCUUGCUGCAGAAUCUAAACUUCACAGAUGCUGAUGAAUGCUUUCUGUAGAGUAUUCCCUUGAAAUUUUGUUGCCCAUUUUACAGGCAAUGAGCAGAGGAUGAAAAAUACAUGUGAAACACAAGUGCUUGCUAAUUUGGAUCUCUAGCUUGAGAUAGCUGGGAUUUGAGUUUUUCUAGAAUCCCUGAUAUUUCAGUGGUUUCUUUGCCUGGGCAGUGAGCUUCAAUAUGCCAGUACUAGCCUUACCACAUUGCUAUUUAGGGAUGGACCUUUGCUCUUUCUGUCUUUCUUCCGUCCCUCCCUAUCAUUUUGUAUGCCUUUGUCAGCUCCCAUGUUUUCUGGAUUAGCCUUGAGGAAGCUAAGAACCCUCCAAAAAAAGUGAUUUCUGCUUUUUGCCCUACAAGCCAGUGGUUCUUUUAAGCCAGUAACACCUCAGCACAGCCUCUUCACUGCACCUCUCCUGCCUCUACUGCAGCUCCUGUGGGCCCCGUGACUAAAAUAGCUAUGUUGUUCAGGUAAAGCUACUUCAUGAGCUCAGAGAAGUUUAAAGAGGAACACGGCAGUCCUAAGAGAGUGAGGAAUCCAUUGACAUAGAGAUGGGAGCUUCAGAAAUUUGUAGAUUAACAUGGAAGAAGGAAAAGUAACCUCCCAGUUCCUGCCUGGUGAUGCUGCUACAAAGAGAACUGAUGGAAACAACUUUCUAUAGAAGAGCCAUCAGCAACACAGAUAAAGCAAACGGAAAUGCAGUAAGCACAGAAAUGAUGCUGUUGCUGUCAUUACAUCUGCAUAGUUCUACAUCUAGUGCUAUUGUCAUCUGGAAGAAAUGACAACACGGGGCAACCUUUGUUUCAGAUGUUCUGACAUUCCUUUCAGCUCUGUUCCAGAAGGAGACAUCAAGAUUAGCAGCUGGUUUUGAAGAUCUGGAUUUAUACAUCAUGAUAUAAAAUGAAAUAAAAGGAAUCACCAUGCUCAAUGGAGGAAUAUAAAAUUCUGGGUUAUUUAUAAAUCAUUAAGCUUGGAUAUUUAUAUUUAAUUUUAUAACAUAUUUUUAAAAAAAAAUUAAAGUAAUUGAGAAGCAUGCUGUAUUUCUCAAUGUCUACCAGCAAAGAUUUGUUUUGCUUGGAAAUAGGGAAGAAUAAACUGCCUCAAGUAUGUAUGGUAACAUCUAGUUGUCUGGAUGAUACCCACAUAUUUCAGUGAGAACCUUGGGAAACCCCAUGGAGUAUUGGAGUCUACCCAGGCAGCCUUUUUUUGAUGUAGGCCAGAAUGGUGAGCUUUGAUAACAAGAACGCCAAGAAUUACAAGUAAUUCUGCAUGGAAACAAUAGAAAAAGAGGAAUUGAAAGUAACCUAAGUAUAUCCUUACUAUAAAUAUCAUUAUAAUUCUGAUAAUGUGCAGGGGCUCUCGUAACUCCUUGGAGAUGUGUCUGAUUUGGAGCUACGAGCUGUCUUUAGUGCUAGGAGAGAUAUUCCACAGCAUCCAUCUCGAAAGGCUGUGCUAAAGCAGAGAUGAUGAUGAAGAAGACAGGACCUAAGGCUCCACUGAAGAGAGUAAUGAACUAGUCUAUCAUAAAGCAGCUUGAAAUAUCAACUCAUUGAAAGGGUAGGUAACAGCAGGACAAGGGGAAAUGGUUUUAAGUUGAGGGAGGGAAGAUUUAGGUUGGAUGUCAAGGGGAAGUUCUUCACAGAGACAGUGGUGAGGUGCUGGAACAGCUGCCCAGAGAAGUUGUGGAUGCCACCGUCCCUAGAAGUGUUCAAGGCCGGACUGAAUGAGGCUUUGGGCAGCCUGGUCUGGUAUUAAAUGGGGAGGUUGGUGGCUCAGCCUGUGGCAGAGGGGUUGGAGAUUCAUGAUCCUUGAGGUCCCUUCCAACCCUGGCCGUUCUGUGAUUCUGUGAAAUAUGGUUUUUAAGGAGUUUUUCUGUAAAAUGCACUGAGCUGACAUGAAGUGUAGUUGGAGUGUUAAUAGUGCACAUGUAUUAAGAUUUAGCUCAAUUCCUUGAAUCAGAGUUCAUCAAGGAAAAUGCCUGCAUUGUCCUCUCAUUGGACACCAUGGAAAGUAGAUAAAGUGGGUAUAUUUUAUGUUACACAAAUAAUGACUAUCUCAAAAAAUUUGCUAACUGAUGCCUGAAAUACUGAGAAUUAAAAUAUUACAUUAUUAUCCCCAGAGCAACAGCUGAGGUUAUGAUUGUACAAAAAAAUAAGUCUAAUGAAGUCCAAAAGUAAUGUAAUGUUUGGCUUUCAUGAGCUGAUUUUCCCCAGCCACAUUCUCACACCAGACCAUGUUUAUUUCUCCAACUCUUUGAGCAUGACAUUUGUUUGCAUGGCUUUAAGUGUUAUGAAGCAGAGAAGGGACUGUGGAGGGACCUCUCAACGAUUCUCUGCUACAUCCACUGUGUGGCAUUCCAGCUCACUAGGAAAUUCAGAAGUUUCUUGGUGACCCUAAUGGUACUGAAACUUUGUUUUUUUUUUGCAAGACCACUGCAAGGGAAAAGAAUCUGCUGCUGCAUAUUGUUGUUUAAUGGCAUCCUAAGUGUCUGGGGUAAAGGUUGCUAAGGCUGAGGGCAUGAACAU